rnacentral:lncRNA from 1 species
GAGAAGUGAACUUUGGGAAUAAGACGAAGAUCAGUGUGAAAGGCAAAGGUGAAAUCAAAAUUAAAGCCAAGGAUGGAAGCGAUGUUACUAUUGCAGUUUUUUUGUACCUGGUCUUUUCUGAAAUCUAUUGAGCGUUGGCCAACUUUCAGAAAAGGGGCACCAGAUUCUCUUUCAAGACGGACUUUGCACCAUCCGGAGCAAAAACAACAAGAUGAUUACUCAGGUAAACAUGGCUCUCACUCAAUAAAGGAGUGAUGAACUUUCAAGUAGUGGCGACGGAUAGCAACUGGCUAUGGCAUCUCCGAUAUGGCCAUUUAAAUUUCAGAGGGCUGAAAUUAUUGUCCCAAAAGAAAAUGCUGACAGGAUUACCAGUGAUCGAUGCUCAUGAUCAGCAGUGUGAAGGAUGUCUUCUUGGGAAGCAGCACAAAGAUUCUUUUCCAACUGGAAAAUUGAAGACAUCAAAGAAACCUUUGAAGUUAGUGCAUACAGAUUUGUGUGGCCCAGUUGAGGUAGAAUCUCUAGGAGGUAAGAGAUACAUGCUUGCUUUUGUAGAUGAUUGUACCAGUGGAGUUAGUGCAUACAGAUUUGUGUGGCUCAGUUGAGGUAGAAUCUCUAGGAGGUAAGAGAUCCAUGCUUGCUUUUGUAGAUGAUUGUACUAGAAAAACUUGGGUUUAUUUUCUCCGAGAAAAAUCAAAAGCUUUUUCAAAAUUCAAAGAAUUUAAAGUUUUUGUUGAAAAACAAAGUGGCUUUAAUUUGAAAACUCUGAGAUUCGAUAGAGGUGGUGAAUUCACUUCUAACGAAUUUCAAGAGUUUUUCAAAAAAGAAGGAAUUCUUCAUCAGUUGACAGCCAGUUAUACACCUCAACAAAAUGGUGUGGCUGAAAGGAAGAACAACACAAUCUUUGAAAUGGCAAGAAGCACGCUGAAGGGGAUAGGUUUGCCGAAGGAAUUUUGGGCAGAAGCUGUUGCUUGUGCUGUGUACGUGUUGAACAGGUGCCCGACAAAGAUCGUGAACGAGAGAACUCCAGAAGAAGCUUGGAGUGGCAGUAAGCCAAAUGUUUCUUCAUUAAGGGUAUUUGGGUGUAUAGCUUAUCCUCAUGUACUAGAUGAGCGGAGAAAGAAGAUGGAUGAUUAAAGUCAAAAGUGUAUCUUUAUUGGGUACAGUGAAGUCACGAAGGGUUAUAAGUUAUAUAAUGAAAGGGAGAACUCCAUAAGAAGCUUGGAGUGGCAGUAAGCCGAAUGUUUCUUCAUUAAGGCUAUUUGGGUGUAUAGCUUAUCUCUAUGUACCAGAUGAGCGAGAAAGAAGCUGGAUGAUAAAAGCCAGAAGUGUAUCUUUAUUGGGUACAGUGAAGUCACGA